rnacentral:rRNA from 1 species
AUUGAACGCUGGCGGCAUGCCUUACACAUGCAAGUCGAACGGCAGCGCGGGUGCUUGCACCUGGCGGCGAGUGGCGAACGGGUGAGUAAUACAUCGGAACGUACCCAGUAGCGGGGGAUAACUACGCGAAAGCGUGGCUAAUACCGCAUACGCCCUACGGGGGAAAGGGGGGGAUCGCAAGACCUCUCACUAUUGGAGCGGCCGAUGGCAGAUUAGCUAGUUGGUGAGGUAAAGGCUCACCAAGGCGACGAUCUGUAGCUGGUCUGAGAGGACGACCAGCCACACUGGGACUGAGACACGGCCCAGACUCCUACGGGAGGCAGCAGUGGGGAAUUUUGGACAAUGGGGGCAACCCUGAUCCAGCAAUGCCGCGUGUGUGAAGAAGGCCUUCGGGUUGUAAAGCACUUUUGUCAGGAACGAAACGGUUUGUGUUAAUACCACAAGCUAAUGACUGUACCUGAAGAAUAAGGACCGGCUAACUACGUGCCAGCAGCCGCCGUAA